GGCAGGACCUGGGGGAGGUGCACGAGGUGCAGAAAAGGAUGCCGGGCUGCGGAGCUGGCUUGGCCUGAGGAUUAUAAGGAUUCACUAGACAACUCCUGAAAAUGGACUAAAUCCAACUGUCCCAGAAAACAGUGCCAACUUCCAUCUGGAAUCGUGUCACAGCACGCUCUUGGCAAUGCUGACAAAAUCUCUACAUGACAUUUGACGGGCUUCCCAUCACUUGCUCCAGAGAGCCAAGCUGUCCCCCUGCCUCCAGUGUUUAUGUGUCAACCCAGAGCACAGUUCAUCUCUUUCCCUAACUUCAGGGGACAAAGUCUGGAGCGCCCUCAGCCAAAAAUGGUCAGAUAGGACUAAAGAACAGCUGCCUACACGUCAUGUCCAAAGUCUUCACAGUCUCUCGAAUCAAGAUGUAGAACUCUCAGCUCCUUCUCCAGCACUAUGCAUGCCUAUAUGUCGCUGGGUCCAACCAUGACGAUAAUGGACUGAACCUCUGAAACUGAUCCCCUAAAGAUGCAGUCACCCCCAGACAGCUUGAAGUAAAUUUAAGAACACUAUGCCCACACUUCCAAGAGUUGGG